GGGCCCGUGGCUCAACCUGGAAGAGCAUCCGGCUCUUAACAUCAGAAACAUGAUGGGAGCUGACCGGACGGUUGUGGGUUCAAAUCCCACCGGGCCCG
rnacentral:tRNA from 1 species